GCCUCUGAGGAAGUGCUGGAGAGCACAGGGCAGAGGGCUCGCUGUACACGGAUCGAAAUGGGGCUGCUGCCCGAGCCGACAGGAAAUCGGGAGCAGGCUGAGGAGAUUUAAAAUGAGGACCAGGAUUAAAACCGGGUGGUGGCCCGGGCUUUUUAAGCAGGGUCCAGGAAGGGAAAGGCAGGCAAGGGUUGUGCUGGGGAGAGCUUCCGACACGGCUGAAUUCUCCCCCUUGUAAGCAAUGACCAUGACCGCUGCUAGGUCCUGGUACCUCGAGCCAGCGUCGGAGAUCAGGGCCAAUCUUGCUCUGCAUAGACUUUAAAGUAAUUAGAGACUUGGGGAAACUGAGUUCCAGUCUGGGAGGGACUUCUUUGUGGCCACACAGGGAUAUGCAUCAAACACGCGUGGCAGGAAGCUUGGCCCACGAAACACCAGCUGAGACCUGUGAGCUGUCCGCUGACCAGGCAAGCCAAGGUUCCCUUGCAUCGCGUGAGAUCAAGAAAUGCCCUUGACCAUGAGGCAUCAUGGCCUCCGCUGGCAGAAGGCUCAACCAGCAGUCUCUGCUGACUCAUUCUUGGGGGCCCUUUAGUACUGUGCUCGGCUGGACAACUUGAAGUUUCUCCUGGAGGUGGAAUUAUAUGUAUUGCCUGGAAACAAGAUUGUGUCCUGGGGAAAGUGACUGCCUUGAUGUUGUCCACAGAUGGUUUUGGGAGUCAGAAACCUCUGAAGAGUGUUAGACCUCCAGAUACCCAAUUACUGCUGUAUUGCUUCAACGAAAGUGAACUUGGAGGAUAAGGUGGUCGUGGGGAGAUGACAGCCAUUCCUCAGCUGUGACAAGAACCAUGCCUUCAGGAGUUAUGAAAAAUGAAGCACUUUUCUCAUUAGAAAAGAAUUAUCCAUUUCCUUCUACUAUCGCCAAAGGCUAUUUUUCUGCCAAUUCAAUGAGAGUGUAAACUUGGGAUUCAUUGCUUGCAGGGAAAAAAAGAAGCAAGUGUACUCUGGGAUCCUCAAGAGUCAAUGAUAAGUGGGUAAAUGGAAUUGAAAAGACUAAGUGCUGGGGGCUGAGCUGGGCUCACUGAAUGGUGCUGUGCACAGGGCAUAACCAACAGUAUGUGAACAAGUUCUGAUUUGCUAAAAAGGAAACAAGGUGAAAUAGCUAAAUUUGCUUUGAGCAAAUUUCUUUCUCCAUCAGAAUCAAAACAAUGGAUGCUAUUCUCUCCCCUGUACCCAUUAGGGGAGUUAUGGCCAGCCCCUCGAGCAUGGCAGAACAGAAGAGCAGACGUGGCCUUAAUGGUGUGACUGAACAGCUAAACCAACAUGGAGUCUUCUCUUUUCAGCUUCGUUUGAGGGCGAGUAAUUAAAUGUCUCUGUUAUUGAAGCCACUGUUAAUCCUGUAGUCUGCUACUUGUAGUCAAAUGCAUACUGACUUGAAAGCAAGAUAAAACAGAAGAACUAGGAGUUCAUAUUCUCCAAAUUACCUCCAGCCCAGAUUCCUCUCUUGAGUUUCAGAUCCAGCUACCUGCUAGGCAUUGUACUCAGGAGUCCCAUGGAAUUUCACACUCAACAGAUCCCCAAACCAAACUCAUCCUCAUACUGUGUGAACCUCCACUUCGCCCUGUCCCCAGGAUCUACACCGUUCACCUGGGCACACAAGCCAGGUACCUGGGAAUCACUCUAUACUUUUCCUUGUCCCUCACCUACCUGUCCAGUUAGUUACAUCGAUUUGACCUUUUAAUCUGCCCUCUUCUCUCCAAUCCCAUUGCCACUGUUUUAGCUGGGGGCAGGGGUUCAUCAUCUUUCUCCAGGGCCGCCACCUCUCAAGUGUUUUACUUGUCUUUGAUCAUGUUUCUCUCGAAAACUUCUACCAGCUUCCAGCACAGUCCAUCCAAAGUGCAGCUCUGACCGUGUCAUUGCCUUGCCUGAGACCCCUGAGGGACUCUCUAUUGCCUGAGACACUGACUCUUAAGUGUGGUCCCUGGAUCAGCAGCAUCAACAUAACUAGGUAACUUGUGAGAAAACAAAUUCUCGGGCCCCACAAAAGAGUAUCUACUGAAUCAGACACUCUGGGGGUAGGGCCCAGCUCUCUGUUUAAACAAGCCUUCUGACGGAAUCUGAUGUACAAGGUUUAAAAGCCACUAUGGGCUUAAAACCAUAAACAAACGAACAAACAAACAAACAAAUAAAUAAAUAAAUUCAUUCCUUGGUGUGGUAGGUUGAA